UUCCUACGGGGCGCAGCAGUGGGGGAUAUUGCACAAUGGGGGGAACCCUGAUGCAGCGACGCCGCGUGGGUGAAGGAGCGUUUCGGCGCGUAAAGCCCUAUCGGCAGGGAAGAAGAUGACGGUACCUGACCAAGAAGCCCCGGCUAACUACGUGCCAGCAGCCGCGGUAAUACGUAGGGAGCAAGCGUUGUUCGGAAUGACUGGGCGUAAAGGGUGCGUAGGCGGUUGUACAAGUUAGAAGUGAAAUACCCAGGGCUUAACUCGGGUGCUGC
rnacentral:rRNA from 1 species